UUUGUAACGCGGAUUUUCUAAGUUUUUCCAACAUUCAAUUGUCCUCAGAAGUAUAAUACCUCGAUGAUUUUUUAGAAUCGGAAGAGUCAAACAAGCUAAUAGUUUAGUUUGUGCACAGAGCAUCACAAUUUCAAUUUUCAACAACAAAAAAGGGUUUGCUAAUCAUGCCUUGUCCUGGCCCGAAUUCCAACUUCUACAGAAGAGUGGUAGGUAAUCGAUAUGGAAGUAACUGCAAUCAAUCAUCGUUGUGAAUUGAGUUUCUGAUAUGGAAGACGUGGAGUGGCGUCGUUUAGCCGAUACUUUUACUUAUUCAACUCUUAAAUGUGUGUUCAUUCUCACUUUUAGUCACAAUCCAUAAUAGCCCUCAAUUUCUGCAUAUGGCUUUAGUGUGCGAUGAUUAUUACUCUUUAAGUCUGUGCAGUGGGAGAAGCCUUGUAUGAUGGAAAGAGUGACAGAAAUAGCAGGAAGAGCACAAGGGUUAUAGCUGGUCUCAUUCACACUUUUCAUCUUCUUGCUCUCAACAAAAAUGCUUAUAGACAACAGUGUGUUCACGAUGAAUCCAAAAUCUCAGGCUACAGACCGAUUUUGGAAACCAUGUUUCUAAUUGGUCGAUCAUCGUUUCAAAAGUGUAAUGUAGUCCCUUUGAAUUUCGUCUUGCUUUAUCUCUGAUUUAUGAAUAAACUUAGUUGUCUUUCAAUGGCAUAUGUUAUGGUAUCAUUUCUUUAUUUUUGCACAAAUAUGACAAUCUUCCUGUGCAUUCUGAUGUCAUAUUCCUAUUUCAAUAAUUCUACUUUACAGAUCUUCUGCAGGAGUAACCAAAACAGGGUUUAUUGGGUCAAAAUGGUGUAUUGGUAGUAUCGUACAUUCAAAACCAUUAGCGAUUGCCCUCCUCUCUUUUCCCUUCCCCUCCCUGCGUAGAUAAUUAUAUUCUGGCUGCUUCAAAUGAAUUAUUUUGUAUUUUUGCGAGGCAUUGAGGAUGGUUAGGCUCUUACUAUUUCUGGCACUUGCACAUGCCAAGUUUUUGCUUCUUGAAACUUGAUCAUAUGGUGAAAGCUAAUUUUUUAAACUAUAAACUAAUUUACUCAUGUUUAUUUUACAGAGUGACCUUUAUUUGGUGCUAAACCUUAGUCUGCUACUUUAUUUAACUUGAUGGAAUUAUGCAGGAACAAAUCAUGUUCACCGGCUGUCAGAAACAAGUUCCAUUGUUCGGCAGGUUUAAUUACAUUAUUCUCGGUCGCCUGAAUUACCAGAUUGUUGAAAGUUAUUAUGUUAUCAUUGAGACUUUUAAAAUUGCUUCAAAUUUUA